UAAUGGACUUAGGCUUAUGGGGGAGGAACAAACUUUCCUGUACCCUCAAGGCUCUUCUGGCUGGUCUAAUCAUCAAAUAGACAUAAGACAGAUUAGCAGGA